rnacentral:lncRNA from 1 species
AUUUAAAUGGAGCUAAAUGAAAUGAAAAUCCAAUUCUCAUUUAAAGAGACAAAACCAUUUUGUUCUCAUCCUAAUUUGGGCCAAAAUGCAAUAACCUCAACUUUUUGGGCUAUGUUGCAAAACUUAAACUUUUGAGCUCAUUUUGUAAAAACACAAAAGUCCACUACACAUGUAAUCACAACUAGAACCCAAAAAUUUCCACAAAUUGAAAAACAUCAUUAAAGGAACAAAACAAUUUGUCCUUUAAUGAUUUUGGGCCUUUACGUAAAUACGUAAACUUUUGGGCCAAAGUUGCAAAUACACAUAAGUACCAAAACUUUAUGUAAUUGCAUAAAAGCCCCAAAAGCACCCCACUUGUAGGGUGGCCGGUUUUAGAUAGAGUGAGGAAUGCAAAAUUUUGAAAUUUUUCAACAAAGUCAUAAAGCCAUGCAAGUGGUGUGUGUGACAUAA